rnacentral:tRNA from 1 species
GCCUCGGUAGCUUAGCAGGUAGAUUCAAAGCCUUAAGCGUCUGGCUGUUAACCAGAAGGUCGUAGGUUCAAGUCCUACCCGAGGCG